rnacentral:lncRNA from 1 species
UUAAUAUCUUUUGGGUAGUGUAAAAAAUUGGGAAAACCCAGAAGCAGUAGCUGCAAUUUUUCCUUAAAAAACUUUGUUAAUCCUUCAAAACCUGCUGAUUCCUCUAAUUCAUUAUAUGUUGUCUCCCAGUGUUCCUAGCAUCCAUGGCUGGAUACCUCCUGUAGGUUUCAAUCUAUCAAAACCUAACUUAUUUAUGCUCCUUCAAUCCAUCAAUUUCCCUUCUAGUACACCAACUAGAGGUAGGGGAGAAAGAAGUUUAAAAGAAAAAGGAAGUUGUGGCCUUGUUUAGAAGUAAUUCCUUGAGGUGAUUCAACUCUUUGUCUUCAGGGUACCAGCAAUCAAAUCCCAAUAACAAGCAACAAACGCUAAUGAGUAGUUGGGGCAUGAUGCAGUAUAAAAAGCAAG